rnacentral:rRNA from 1 species
GACGAACGCUGGCGGCGUGCUUAACACAUGCAGGUCGAACGGAAAGGCCCUGCUUGCAGGGUACUCGAGUGGCGAACGGGUGAGUAACACGUGGGUGAUCUGCCCUGCACUUCGGGAUAAGCCUGGGAAACUGGGUCUAAUACCGGAUAGGAGCCAUUUUUAGUGUGAUGGUUGGAAAGUUUUUUCGGUGUAGGAUGAGCUCGCGGCCUAUCAGCUUGUUGGUGGGGUAAUGGCCUACCAAGGCGGCGACGGGUAGCCGGCCUGAGAGGGUGGACGGCCACAUUGGGACUGAGAUACGGCCCAGACUCCUACGGGAGGCAGCAGUGGGGAAUAUUGCACAAUGGGCGCAAGCCUGAUGCAGCGACGCCGCGUGGGGGAUGACGGCCUUCGGGUUGUAAACUCCUUUCGCUAGGGACGAAGCUUUUUGUGACGGUACCUAGAUAAGAAGCACCGGCUAACUACGUG